rnacentral:rRNA from 1 species
UACAGAGGUCCCGAGCGUUGUUCGGAAUUACUGGGCGUAAAGGGCGCGUAGGCGGUGCCUCAAGUCAGGCGUGAAAGCCCCCGGGCUCAACCUGGGAACCGCGCUUGAGACUGGAGUACUAGAGUUCGGGAGAGGAUGGUGGAAUUCCCAGUGUAGAGGUGAAAAUUCGUAGAUAUUGGGAAGAACACCGAUGGCGAAGGGCAGCCAUCUGGACCCGACACUGACGCUGAGGCGCGAAAAGCGUGGGGGAGCAAACAGG